UUGACAGCCCUGGAGACAGAAGUCCCCUAUCAACAGAAUGGUUACUGCAGUGAGAAGUGGCAAUGUGCAUUUCCUACAAUAGUUUGCCAGUGUGCCAGAACCCUGACCUAAAGGGACCACCUUUAGGCUUGAGAAUAUAUUUUAGUUUCCACAGCUCAUUCACAGCCUAGUCUUAG
rnacentral:sRNA from 1 species